rnacentral:tRNA from 1 species
GAGGGUAUAGCUCAGUGGUAGAGCGCAUGCUUAGCAUGCACAAGGGCCUGGGUUCAAUCCCCAGUACCUCUU